AAAUGAAUUGACGGGGGCCCGCACAAGCAGUGGAGUAUGUGGUUUAAUUCGAUGCAACGCGAAGAACCUUACCAGGGCUUGACAUCCCUUGACGUUCUAAGAAAUUAGGAUUCCCUUCGGGGCAAGGAGACAGGUGGUGCAUGGUUGUCGUCAGCUCGUGUCGUGAGAUGUUGGGUUAAGUCCCGCAACGAGCGCAACCCUUGUUGUUAGUUGCCAGCAUUCAGUUGGGCACUCUAACAAGACUGCCGGUGACAAAUCGGAGGAAGGUGGGGACGACGUCAAAUCAUCAUGCCCCUUAUGUCCUGGGCUACACACGUACUACAAUGGCUAUUACAAUGGGAAGCAAAACCGCGAGGUAGAGCAAAUCCUGUAAAGAUAGUCCCAGUUCGGAUUGCAGGCUGAAACUCGCCUGCAUGAAGUCGGAAUUGCUAGUAAUGGCAGGUCAGCAUACUGCCGUGAAUACGUUCCCGGGCCUUGUACACACCGCCCGU
rnacentral:rRNA from 1 species